CAAAAGGCCCACUAGGUGGAGUGAAAUGGAUCAGGAGCAAUUAUGUUCAAUUUCACCUUUAAGUUUUCUCAAAAGGAGGAGCAUUAAGAAUCAGCCACCUUAGUACAUACUUAAAGGUAAAUAUUACAUUUAAGAAAAUCCUUGUUAUCUUAAUGUGGCACUGAGAAAAUACUAUCAAGUACAGCACGUGGACUAAGUUAGAACAUUAAAUACACAGGAUCUCUUGAUAGAAUUAUCCUCAGACUUUCCAGUUUUAAUCUUCUAGAUUUACUGAAACCUGAUCCUGUCCCCGCUGAUGAAACAUCAGAGGAAUGGGAUCCUGUAGGUGAAGAUCAUCAGCUUAUAAAAUCCUGUUGCCAUCAAUGGGGGUAGCAGGAAAAUGAUGAAGAUUGGUUAAGGGGCCAGUGGACUCAGCAUUGAAAUGAAUCAUGGACUUGAAGCCAAAAGACUCAGUUUGUGUCCCAGCUCUCUCAAGCAAAGCCCCCAAGUCCCAGUUUCCUCAUCUAUAAAAAAUAAUAAAAAUACUUAAUGGACAAAGUUGUGUGGGAAUCAAAUGAGAUAAAGUAUGCGCUGCAUAUGCCCUAAAGUCUUAUUUAAAUAAAGGCAUUCUUUUCAUCUGAGAAAUUGAAGAAAAAGAUGCCCUGAACAAGAAAGACAGGAGAAAAGAUUUUUUUUUUUUUUAAUGAAGGAUAAAAUGAUGAAAUCCCCCCAGGAGAAGAUAGUCAUUGGACAAAAGGUGGGUCAUUCUCACGUUGACCAAG
rnacentral:lncRNA from 1 species